UACUAUACUUCUCCAUUCUGA
ensembl:piRNA 21ur-157 ncRNA